rnacentral:rRNA from 1 species
GCGCAGCAGGCGCGAAAACUUCACACUGUGCGAAAGCACGAUGAGGGAAUCCCAAGUGCUUGCACGUAAGUGUAAGCUGUUUCUCUGUUUAAAACGCAGAGAGAGUAAGGGCUGGGUAAGACGGGUGCCAGCCGCCGCGGUAAUACCUGCAGCUCAAGUGGUGACCGUUAUUAUUGGGCCUAAAAACGUCCGUAGCCGGUUUAAUAAAUGCCUGGGUAAAUCGUGUAGCUUAACUAUACGAAUUCCGGGUAGACUGUUAAACUCGAGACCGGGAGAAGUUAGAGGUACUCCUGGGGUAGAGGUGAAAUUCUGUAAUCCUAGGGGGACCACCAGUGGUGAAGGCGUCUAACUAGAACGGGUCUGACGGUGAGGGACGAAGCCCUGGGGCGCAAACGGGAUUAGAUACCCGUGUAGU